AACGAACGCUGGCGGCAGGCUUAACACAUGCAAGUCGAACGCCCCGCAAGGGGAGUGGCAGACGGGUGAGUAACGCGUGGGAAUCUACCCAGUUCUACGGAACAACAGAGGGAAACUUCUGCUAAUACCGUAUACGCCCUAAGGGGGAAAGAUUUAUCGGAAUUGGAUGAGCCCGCGUAAGAUUAGCUAGUUGGUGAGGUAAUGGCUCACCAAGGCGACGAUCUUUAGCUGGUCUGAGAGGAUGAUCAGCCACACUGGGACUGAGACACGGCCCAGACUCCUACGGGAGGCAGCAGUGGGGAAUAUUGGACAAUGGGCGCAAGCCUGAUCCAGCCAUGCCGCGUGAGUGAUGAAGGCCUUAGGGCUGUAAAGCUCUUUCAGUAGGGAAGAUAAUGACGGUACCUACAGAAGAAGCCCCGGCUAACUUCGUGCCAGCCGCCGCAGUAACAC
rnacentral:rRNA from 1 species